rnacentral:rRNA from 1 species
GACGAACGCUGGCGGCGUGCUUAACACAUGCAAGUCGAACGGAGUGGCGAACGGGUGAGUAACACGUGGGUGAUCUGCCUUGCACUUCGGGGUAAGCUUGGGAAACUGGGUCUAACACCCGAUCGGGCAAGAUGGGCUCGCGGCCUAUCAGCUUGUUGGUGGGGUAAUGGCCUACCAAGGCGUCGACGGGUAGCCGGCCUGUGAGGGGGUACGGCCACCAUGGGACUGAGAUACGGCCCAGAGUCCGACGGGAGGCAGCAGUGGGGAAUAUUGCACAAGGGGCGGAAGCCUGAUGCAGCGACGCCGCGUGGGGGAUGAAGUCCUUCGGGUUGUAAACUCCUUUCGACAGGGACGCGGUACCUGUAUAAGAAGCACCGGCUAACUACGUGCCAGCAGCCGCGGUAAUAC